AUGGUACUUUUUUUGGAGUUGAGCUGCAAGUUGAGAAAGGCAUGCAUGGCAUGUCACCUUCUGGUAAGAAGGGCGGGCUUCUUCAACAGCGACGGCGUUUUCUGGAGAGGAGGGAGCCUUGGCGUCGCCUCCUCAGGGCUAGAGGAGGGAACAAAGAGCAAGCUGGAGGGCCCAGUUCUCGCGACGACGAUCACGUGGGAUUUCAUUUUAUUUUUUCCGUGUUGUCAUGUGGCAGAUAGCAAGAAUGCGAACUGGGAUGUUGCUGUUACUCAAGCUCUUCAGAUGAUCAAAGGGAGGCAAACAGAACAACUUCAUCGGCUUAGAGAAGCAAUGGAGCAUCUUUCAACAAUGGUUUCUUUAGUUUUACCUUUUGUUGCUGGUAUGGUUGUCUCAGUUUAG
rnacentral:rRNA from 1 species